CCCUUAGAUGUUCUGGGCCGCACGCGCGCUACACUGACGAAUGCAACGAGCUUAUAACCUUGGCCGAAAGGUCUGGGUAAUCUCCAAAUUUCGUCGUGAUGGGGAUAGAUUAUUGCAAUUAUUAAUCUUCAACGAGGAAUGCCUAGUAAGCGCAAGUCAUCAGCUUGCGUUGAUUACGUCCCUGCCCUUUGUACACACCGCCCGUCGCUCCUACCGAUUGAAUGAUCCGGUGAAGCGUUCGGACCGUGGCCUUUGGACGGUUCGCCGUCUGUUGGCUGCGGGAAGUUCGUUAAACCUUAUCAUUUAGAGGAAGGAGAAGUCGUAACA
rnacentral:rRNA from 1 species